GCCAUCCUAGUAUAGUGGUCAGUACUCUGCUUUGUGGCAGCAGCGACCCAGGUUCGAUUCCUGGGGAUGGCA
rfam:Candida arabinofermentans NRRL YB-2248 unplaced genomic scaffold CANARscaffold_14, whole genome shotgun sequence.